rnacentral:misc_RNA from 1 species
UCUCUUCUUCUUCUUUUAUUUGAUAAUACCCCAAAAGAACAGCCCACAACCGACAGGAUCAACCCCCAAUACACUCAGACUUAAACAAUUAACUUCUAAUGGUGACGAAAAAACCUCCUCAAAGAAAACCAAAACAGCCAUAAACCAAAACACAGGUAUACAUAUGAUCAUCACAGACCUAAGCAAACUACAAUCAAUAGGCCCCAAACCAAGAAAACAACCAGCAACACAAUAAACAGAUAUAUAUAUAUAAUGUCUAUUAUUAUUAUUAUGGUGGGAAUUAUUACUAGGAUUAUAUUCUCCAUAAAGUUGAAUGCUGAAAGAAGACUAUUUGAUUUUCUUAUAGGAAAAGAAAAAGAAACCAUGAACCCACCACCAUGGAUGCCUCUGUCACCAAAGCCACAUGACAGUCUGUAAUCUACUGUUUAUUUGUUUCUCAUAGUGACCACCAGAGGGCGCAUUCCUAACCUUUCACCCACCCCAUAUGGCACUAUAAAUACCUCCCCCUCCCUACCACCUCCGCGUACUCACAUUGCAACUCCAUCGGUAUCACAAAGAACAAAAAUAUGAAGCCAUUCUUUACAGCCCUUUUGUUGGUCUGCCUUGUUCUUACUUCCUCGUUCUUUGAGCUUACAAUGGCUGGUUCAGCAUUCUGUGACUCCAAGUGUGGGGAGAGGUGCGCAAAAGCAAGUGUGAAAGAACGGUGUUUGAAGUACUGUGGAAUUUGCUGUGAAAAGUGCAACUGCGUGCCCUCUGGAACUUAUGGGAACAAGCACGAGUGCCCUUGUUACCGGGACAUGAAAAAUUCCAAGGGCAAGCCCAAGUGCCCUUGAAGAACUUCACUGGAUUCAGUAUGGAGCUAUAAAGAAUCAGUACAUAUAUAGCUAAUUAAUAAUAAAUUGCAUGGAUUGUGUAGAGAUUAUAUAUAUGUAAUUAGUUCAUAAAAGUCGAAAUAUGAACGGAGAAACUGAUGUGCGUACUUCCAUUAGUUUAUGAAAGUGGAUGGUUUGUUAUCUAUCUCUCUGGUACUGGCAUGGCUAAUUGGAUGUUACUGUACUACUGUCCUUGUAUCAAAUUACUUAAAUAAAUUAGAUAAUUUUAAUUUAAACA